UACAGAGGAGCCAAGCGUUGUCCGGAUUGACUGGGCGUAAAGCGCACGCAGGCGGGUGCGCGCGUGGGGUGUGAAAUCUGGCCGCUUAACGGCCAGGCGCCAUCCCAUACGGCGCGCCUGGAGCCUUGCAGAGGUCGGUGGAAUUGCCGGUGUAGUGGUGAAAUGCGUAGAGAUCGGCAGGAACACCCAGGGGGAACCCAGCCCGCUGGGCCAGACCUGACACUGAGGUGCGAAAGCGUGGGGAGCAAACGAGGA
rnacentral:rRNA from 1 species